GAUGAGACUUCUCAUGUUUGCAGGACCCAAGAACUUGUUGCAUUAUCUGGAGCUCAUACGCUAGGAAGCAAAGGCUUUGGAAAUCCUAAUGUGUUCGAUAAUGCCUACUACAAAAUUCUUCUCGAGAAACCAUGGUCAACUUCAGGUUCCAUGUCAAGUAUGAUCGGGUUACCAUCAGAUCACGCUCUUGCAGAGGACGAUGAGUGUUUGAGGUGGAUCAAAGUUUAUGCAGCUGAUCAAGUAAAGUUUUUUGAUGAUUUUUCAAGCGCCUAUGUCAAACUGGUAGAUUCAGGUGCUGUGUGGAGAAAUGACAAUGUCUGAUGCUACAAUUGAGUAAUAGACAGAUGAUAAAUGAGCCGAAUGAGCUGGUUGAUGAAAAAUAAUAAUAAUAAUACCUUUUUUAAUGAUAAUAUAUGUUCAUUAUCCAGCUCAUUUGGCUGGUAUUUCAAUCUCCGAUUUUCAGCAAAAUUAACAUUCUAGAUUUGUUUUUGCCUUAGUUUCUGUGUUCAUGCUGUAACUGUGGCUUCCAUAUUACUUGCCUGUAGUUUUUAGAAUGUACAGUUAUGCACUAUUCUUUUAGAAUGUGCAGUUGUAUUAUAUUCAUUUCAUGUUGUCUUCA